rnacentral:tRNA from 1 species
GUGGGCAUAGCUCAGUGGGAGAGCACAUGCUUAGCAUGCACAAGGUACCGGGUUCAAUCCCCAAUACCUACA